rnacentral:rRNA from 1 species
AGAGUUUGGACCUGGCUCAGAUUGAACGCUGGCGGCAUGCCUUACACAUGCAAGUCGAACGGCAGCGCGGGGCAACCUGGCGGCGAGUGGCGAACGGGUGAGUAAUAUAUCGGAACGUACCCAAGAGUGGGGGAUAACGUAGCGAAAGUUACGCUAAUACCGCAUACGAUCUAAGGAUGAAAGCAGGGGACCGCAAGGCCUUGUGCUCCUGGAGCGGCCGAUAUCUGAUUAGCUAGUUGGUGGGGUAAAGGCCUACCAAGGCAUCGAUCAGUAGCUGGUCUGAGAGGACGACCAGCCACACUGGGACUGAGACACGGCCCAGACUCCUACGGGAGGCAGCAGUGGGGAAUUUUGGACAAUGGGGGCAACCCUGAUCCAGCAAUGCCGCGUGAGUGAAGAAGGCCUUCGGGUUGUAAAGCUCUUUUGUCAGGGAAGAAACGGUUGGGGCUAAUAUCCCCGGCUAAUGACGGUACCUGAAGAAUAAGCACCGGCUAACUACUCAGCGUUCCGG